GUUCAAAUAGCGGGCAGUGGAGAGAAUUGGUCCAUCAUGUGCUGGAACUGAUUAGAUACAGCCCAGCUUUGAAAUUCACUUAUGGCCUCUGUUUUUCCUGAUUCUUACAAUCUUCCACAUUUUAAGAGGUACGAAAACUGGUUGGCUUCAUUUCUUGAUGUCCACCACGCCAAAUUCGAAGCGCAUUUACCGAAUUCCCCGAAACCAGUCUGGUAACUAUUUUUCCCUUCAGGAUUAAGAG